UCCCCCUCCCUCUCCCCCUCCUCCUCCUCCUCCUUCUUCUCCUCCUCCUUGCCUACCUCAUAGUGCAGAGAGAGAAGUUUAUCAUCUAUGUAUAUACUUUUAGGAAAGUGAAAAUCCUUUAUUAAUGGCAAGUUCACUUAUUUUACUUUAAAUUUUCUUUGCAGUACUGGAAAUUACACACUGGGUUUCACUCAUGCUGUGUGUGGACUCUGAAUCAAGCUGUACAUAUAGCCCCCAAUAUUUCCUCUUAUUUUAAAAUAAUACACAAAACAUUAAAAUAUAUAAUGAGGCAACAUGAUAAUUUAAUAUAUGUUUUAACUUUGUUAUGCUUUAAUUAAGAUAAACAUAUGUAUUGCCUUAAAUAUUUAUUAUUUUUUAUGGUAUAAGUUUUAACAUUUCCUUGCAUGUUGAAAUUUGUGGUACAUUAUUGUUAUCAAUAGCAACACAAUAGCAUACCAGAUAUUCUUCCUCCUACCUCACUUAUAAUGCUGUCUUCAUUGGUUAACUACCUAUCUGACCUCUUGUAGUCACUCUUAUACUCUCAAACUUCUGUGAGAUUGGCCUUUUGUAGUUAUGGCAGUAACAAACCGUCCAUCCACAUUGUUUUAUAACCUUGUUGCCUGCAUGUAUUUUUGUGUAUUACAUGUGUGCCUGGUGCCGAUGGAGGUUAGAAGAGGACACUGGCUGCUCUAGGACUGGAGAUACACAUAGUGGAGCCCAUGGAGGCCAGAAGACAGAUCCCCUGGAGCUGGAAUUAGGUAUGGUUGUGAACUACCAUGUGAGUGCUGGGAACUGAAUGCCGUCCCUUCCAAGAACAGGACUGAACUCAUAUCAUCAGGGUUGGAGACAAGUAUACUUACUGACUGAGCUAUCUCACUGGCCUUUUGGUUUAUAAAGAAUUGUGUUGGAAGUUUGAUGGGAAUUGCCUUAUUCAUAAUAGCCAGAAACUGGAAGCAACCCAGAUGUCCCUCAACUGAAGAAUGGAUACAGAAAAUGUGAUUCAUUUACACAAUGGAAUACUAUUCAGCUAUUAAAAACAAAAGCAUUAUGAAUUUUGCAGGCAAAUGCAUGAAACUUGAGAAUAUCAUCCUGAGUGAGACAAGAACCUAGCAUAUUUGUCUCUCGAGAGGCUUUAUCCAGCAGCAGAUGGAGGCAGAUGCAGAGAUACACAGCCAGACAUCAGGAGAAGCUCCAGGUGCCUUGUGGAAGAGUGGGGGAUAGAAAUGAUCAAGCCAGAGAGAUCAAGAACACCCAAAGAAAACCUACAGAAUCAACUAACAUGGGCCCACGGGAGAUCACAGAGACUGAACUACUAACCAAAGAGCAGACAGAGGCUGGAUCUAAGACCCCUACACAUUUAGAGUAGAGGUGCAACUUGUCCUCAUGUGGGUCCUCUAUCAAUUGGAAUGGGGGCUGUCCCUGAUUGUGUUCCCUGUCACUGGAUCCUCUUCUCCUACCUUGACUACCUGGUUGGGCCUCAGUGGGAGAAGAUGUGCUUAGUCCUGCUGGGACUAGAUGUCUCAAGGCAGGGUGGUACCCUAGGGGGCGGGGUCCACUUCUUUGAUGCAAAGGGGGAGGAGUAAUGGGGGGAGGGACUUACAUGGGUAGGACUGGGAGGAGAGAAUUAAGACCGGCUGUUAUCAGGAUGUACAGUGAAAAAAUAGAUAAAUUAACCAAAAAAAAAAAAAAGACAUUUCUUCUUGGUGCACAUUUCACUUACAUUGAGAAUAAAUUCUCAACAUUGUUCUUGUCAAACUCUUUUAUGGAUUGAUUACUCGAGCACUGUCCUUAAACCUUCUCCUGGUUUAGAACUUUAAAGUCUUUGUUUUUUAAUUAAAAUAUAAUUACAUCGGCUAGAGAGAUGAUAUCAGUUAAAAGCAUGGGCUGUUCUUAUGGAGGACCUGAGUUGGAUUCUUGAUAGCCACAUAAUGAAGCUUACAAUAAUAAUAAUCCAAGACUCCAGCUCUGGGGAGAUCUGAUGCCUGUGGCCUUCAUGGGCAUCUGUAUUCUUGUGCCCACACCAACACACACACACACACACACACACACACACACACAAAUAUACAUAUAAUUAAAAACUAAAUCUAAAACCUUAAAAUAUAUAAUUUUCUCCUUUUCCUCCUAAAGAACUUUCUGUAGUGCAUUCCAGGAGAAUUAAGUCUUUAUACCCCUUGCUUAUACAGUAAUGAUGAGGAUAUUAAUUUUUAAUGAUCAUUAUUUUACAUUUAUUCAGUUUACUAAUUCCCAGGCAAUAUGCUAAGGAUUUUGUAUGUAUUCAUUCAUUAUAUUCUCUUGAUAAUCCAAUAGAGAGGGAAAUGAUUAUUUUUCCAUUUUAAUGAUUAGAAUGUUGAAACAGAAUUAAUGUUCCCAGGUUCACAGUAUUAAUUAAAGCUUUAUGGCUUCCCUGAUCAUAUUAUUAUUAUUAUGAGAUUUUAUAUGCUUAUCUUGUGUAUAUGCAUAUAUAUAUAUGUAUAUAUAUAUAUAUGUAUGUAUAUAUAUAUAUGCUAACAUUGAAAAAUAAGUGUGGGCAAACUUGCUGAAUGUGUUCAGUUCUGUGGUAUUAACAGUUUUUAAAGGAAAGAUUAGCUGACCUUCAUCUAUACUAAAACUAUUCCCUCAGGAAUAUUUCAUUUCUCUUUUCUAUUAAUAAGCUGCUUUGAAGAGCAAAUUAGCCCUAUGAAGGAUGCUACAUUAAGUUUCAAAGUACUAAAACCAAAGGAAUUUAAUAUUUCCUCCUUUAUUCUUUCCAUGUAUUUCAUCGGUAAUGAUGCAAUUUUCUGUCAGUUACUACUCUGAAUAUUGCCCCUUAGCCAUGCUAGCUACCCAUCAAGCCGCAGCGAAAGAGAAUUAUUGUUGUGACCCUUCUUAAUCAGCUUUUGGCCACAUUGUUUCCCUGUAUUUGACUAUAUGUAAAAAUAAGCAUAGCUAACAGAUGAAAAGAACUCAUCUUUGUGUUAGUUUUUGUUGUUUCAAAACAAAGUUUCUGCAUAGCCCUGGCUGUCUUGGAACUUACUCUGUAGACCAGGCUGCCCUCAAACUUGGAGAAUGGCCAGCUUCCGCCUCCUCAGUGCUGUGAAUAAAGGUGUAUAUGUGUGUGCAGCGUCCACCUCGGGCUUACAUUUGUUAUUUUUAACAUUGCUUGACCCAAUAUUUGAUCUGUUGUCUUACAGUGUAGGAAAGGAUCCAGCUUAUCAUGAUAGGGAAGGCAUGUCGCAGGAUUGCAAGGCAGUUGAUAACAGUGUCUCCAGUCAGGAAGCACAGAUGAAUGCUGGUGCAUAGCUCAUUUGUUUAUUUCUAUUUUAGACUGUGGUCCUAGCCCACAUAUAGGAUAGGUAUUCCAACCUCAAUCAACUUCUUGGAGAAACCCCUUUCACAGACAUGCUCAGAAGCUUGUCUUCUAUGUGAUUAUAGAUCCUGUCAAAGCGACACUGUUAACCAUCAAAAUGCUGCACUUGACACUUCCAUAAUAAACACGUGUGUAUCUGGUCCUUGGAGGAUGGAAGGAUGCAGACAGCACAGUUUAAUGUUGUCCCAAAGGUCAAGGUACCUGAGUAUAUUAUUCCAUUUAAGAUUUGAAGGCAAAGGCAGUAACACUUGGAUAUGAAUCUUAACUACCACUUUGUACAUGUAUAAUCUUCAACAAGUUAAGUUUUUCGUCUUGACCUUGGUUUCCUCAAUGUAUAAUAAUGAUAAUAUUAUAUCUGCUUCAUAGACUUCUUGUGAUCAUUAAACAGGUUAAUAAUCAGGAAACUGCUUUCUGUCCAGAGAGAACAUUAGAAAUAUCAGUAAUUAUUACUAAUUGUACCUUAGGGGUGCCAUUUUCUAUAUGAAAUUUCUUGUUUAUCAUUUAUUUUUCUCAGAAAUAAGCCUAUCACUUUCUCAAGUAUGCCUUAAAGCAUGGAAUUAGAAAUACUGUUUUUAGACACAUGCCAGUAUGAAGAUUACCCACUGAUUCCAGUUUCUUGCAUUUCACUUCUAAGCAGCCCAGAAAUGGGACUUCCCCAGGUUGAAGGCAGAGAGGGAGCUUUUCAAAAGCUCUUGCACUUGUAUGUUGCCUAUGAUUAACCCAGUCACUUGAUUCCACAACUCAUGCCUUACUGUUAAUCUGCAGUCAUUUAACUUAGUUCAGUGGUCUCUGAAGUGCAGGGUAGAUGGGAUCCCAGAAAGAUGCAAGAUUAACUAUUUGGCUGUGAAGAAAAUGUUAAAAUUUACACUCGCUUUUUACCCACUUUGUGGCUGACACUGCCCACACAUCUCUCCGUGUUGGACACAGCACAUUUGUCUGCCUGGACCUUGAUGAAAGAGUGGGUGUUUCAUAAUGGGAAGUGCUGUUUGUCGAAGGCCUCACUUGUUGGAACAUGCAAUGAUUUAUCGUACAGAGAGAUUUUUGGCUUAGGUAGCUUGUAUAAUCUUAGUUAUCAAAUCUAAGUUUGCAAGGAAAUGACCUGCAGAAUUCAUUCAACUGCGUCACUCAUCUGUGACACCCUAGAGGGCUCACUAAUUAUCACGAGGGAAGCAUUUAAAAACUUGGUGCACUUAGAAAUGAGGCAUACUCUAGUCUUUUAAAUAAAGACAAAUAUUUCAAAAUUGCUGACCUUCUCUUGCUAAUUAGUUCACAAUAGUAUGUAUCUUAGUUAGGGUUUUACUGCUGUGAAGAGACACCACAACCAAGGCAACUCUUAUAAGGAUAACGUUUAAUUGGGUUGACUUACAGGUUCAGAGGUUCAGUCCAUUAUCAAGGUGGGAGCAUGGCAGUAUCCAGGCAGGCAUGGUGCAGGAGGAGCUGAGAGUUCUGCAUCUUCAUCUGAAGGCUGCUAACAAGAACACUCAUUUUCAGGCAGCUAGGAUGAGAGUAUUAAACCCCACACCCACAGUGACACACCUACUCCAACAAAGCAACACCUUCUGAUAGUGGCACUUCCUGGCCCAAGUAUAUACAAACUAUCACAGUAUGAUACCCAGAAGACAUUUGAAAGGAAAACCUGACCUAUUCCUUCAAGAUGGUUUUAGUAAUCAGUGACAAAUAACUAGGUCAAUUACUUAGGAGGCUGAGGCAGGAGGAUUGUGGGUUCAGGGCUUGUUUGGGCUACAGAAAUAGGCCCUAUAUCAGUACAUAAAUGCAUAAAAAUGUAAAAUGCUUUGUAGUAUAUGCCUUUUAAUCUGUUAUGUGGCUUAUUGCUUUGUCACCUACAACAUCUGGAGUUUGCAUAAUGUUAAAAUUUGACAGAAAUAGUUCCAAAUUCAUUAACUGGUUUUCUAUGUGAAGGAUUGUGGUAAAUUUGGAGCUCAUUUGUUAAAAAUAAGAGGCUAUUUGGUUUAGUUUAUAAGCAUAGCUUGUUGGUGAAUUUUUCUUCUUGGUGACAAGGCACACUCAGUACUUUUGAGUAAUUGGAGGUGAAACUGAAGAAUGUGUUAUUAUACUGUAUUAAGUAUGGAUAAGUAUGUAUUAUCUUUAAAAAUGUAAAAUAUAAUUAUGUCACUUCUGCUUUCCUUUCUCUCCCUCUGUCUUCUCCCAUGUUACCCCACUUACUAUCAAAUUCACUACCUCUUUUUAUUAUUUUUACAUCCACACAGAUAGAGAGAUGAUAGAUGCACAAAUAUAUAAAUACAAUAUACAGUGUGUGUGUUUUUGUUGUUUAUGUGGCUAAGCUUUCAGAGAUGACCACGUUGGAUUGGA